UGAGUAACCUGCCCUUAACUCUGGGAUAAGCCUGGGAAACUGGGUCUAAUACCGGAUAUGACUCCUCAUCGCAUGGUGGGGGUGGAAAGCUUUUGUGGUUUUGGAUGGACUCGCGGCCUAUCAGCUUGUUGGUGAGGUAAUGGCUCACCAAGGCGACGACGGGUAGCCGGCCUGAGAGGGUGACCGGCCACACUGGGACUGAGACACGGCCCAGACUCCUACGGGAGGCAG
rnacentral:rRNA from 1 species